ensembl:snRNA U6 U6 spliceosomal RNA
GUGGGUCGCCAGUGCCUUCUCCUCAGCAGCACAUACAUAUAGUAAAACUGGAACAAUACAGAAAAGAUUAGCAUGUCCUCUGCACAAAGAUGAUAUGCAAAUUUAUGAAGCAUUUCAUGUUUUU